AAGUCGAGGGGCAGCAUAGAAGUAGCAAUACUUUGGUGGCGACCGGCGCACGGGUGAGUAACGCGUAUGCAACCUACCUAUCAGAGGGGAAUAACCCGGCGAAAGUCGGACUAAUACCGCAUAAAACAGGGGCACCGCAUGGUGAUAUUUGUUAAAGAAAUUCGCUGAUAGAUGGGCAUGCGUUCCAUUAGGUAGUUGGUGAGGUAACGGCUCACCAAGCCGACGAUGGAUAGGGGAACUGAGAGGUUGGUCCCCCACACUGGUACUGAGACACGGACCAGACUCCUACGGGAGGCAGCAGUGAGGAAUAUUGGUCAAUGGGCGGGAGCCUGAACCAGCCAAGUCGCGUGAAGGAAGAAGGAUCUAUGGUUCGUAAACUUCUUUUGCAGGGGAAUAAAGUGCAGGACGUGUCCUGUUUUGUAUGUACCCUGAGAAUAAGGAUCGGCUAACUCCGUGCCAGCAGCCGCGGUAAUACGGAGGAUCCGAGCGUUAUCCGGAUUUAUUGGGUUUAAAGGGUGCGUAGGUGGUUUGAUAAGUCAGCGGUGAAAGUUUGCAGCUUAACUGUAAAAAUGCCGUUGAAACUGUCGGACUUGAGUGUAAAUGAGGUAGGCGGAAUGCGUGGUGUAGCGGUGAAAUGCAUAGAUAUCACGCAGAACUCCGAUUGCGAAGGCAGCUUACUAAGCUACAACUGACACUGAAGCACGAAAGCGUGGGGAUCAAACAGGAUUAGAUACCCUGGUAGUCCACGCAGUAAACGAUGAUUACUAGCUGUUUGCGAUACACAGUAAGCGGCACAGCGAAAGCGUUAAGUAAUCCACCUGGGGA
rnacentral:rRNA from 1 species